rnacentral:lncRNA from 1 species
GGCGGCGUCGAGGGUGAAAUCGCCGGAUCGGAAGCGGUAGAGGCCGAUGGAGCGGAGGCGUUCGAGGACGGCGGAGGGGCCGCGGGAUAUGGGACGGAGGUGGUCGUCGUCGUCGCGGUGGCGGUGGGAGCGAAGGGUCUUGGAGGUGAGGGCGAUGGUGCCGAUGACGAGAUUGAGGAGCACGAAGAGGACGGUGGGGGAGAGCCAGUCGCGUACGGAGGACCACAUCGACGGCCACGAUUCUU